GGCGUGCGCAGCUACCAUGCAGUCGAGCGGUAACCAAGGUGCUUGGUCACGGGUGACGAGCGGCGGAGAGGGGAGUAAAGUGUGGGAAACUGCGCGAGGGAGGGGGAGAUAUACUGGAAACGGUGUCUAAUACCGCACAACGUCUCACGACCCAAGAGGGGGACCUUCUGGCCUCUUGCGCUCUCAUGUGCCCCCAUGGGAUUAUCUAUUAUGUGGGGUAACGGCUCACCUAUGCGACAAUCCCUAUCUGGUCUGAGAGGAUGACCCCCCCCACUGGAACUGAGACACGGUCCCCACACCUACGGGAGGCGCCACUGGGGAAUAUUGCACAAUGGGCGCAAGCCUGAUGCACCCCUGCCCCGUGUAUAAAAAAAGCCUUCUGGUUUUAAAAUACUUUCUCCGCGGAGGAAAGCGUUUUGGUUAAUAACCCCACCGAUUGACGUUACCCGCACAAAAAACACCGGCGAACUCCGUGCGCCCAGCCCCGGUAAUACAGAGGGUGCGCGCGUUAAUCUCAAAUACAGGGCGUAAAGCGCACACACGCGCUCUGUCACGUCUGAUGUGAAAUCUCCGGGCUCUCCCUGGGAACUGUGUUCUAAACUGGGACGCUAUAGUCUUGUAUAGGGGGGGUAUAAUUCUACGUGUAUCGCUGAAAUGCGUAUAGAUCUGGAGGAGUACAGGUGGUCGAAAGCGGCCCCCCUGGGAGAAAAACUGACACUCACGUGCGAAAGCGUGUGGAGCACACACGGAGUAUAUACCCUGGGUAGUCCCCACCCUAAAACAUGUCUACCUUGUGAGAUUGUGGCCCCUUGUAGACGGCGGCUUCCCCCAGCUCAUCACCGCUUAAUCCUCCAGCCCUCGGGGAGUACUACGCCGCCACGGGUGAUAACCAUCUAAUGAAAAUGUCCGCGGGGCCCCCCACAAGACGCUGGGAGCACUGUGGGUUUAUAUUUAUGCGAC
rnacentral:rRNA from 1 species